UCAUAUGGUUCAACCAAUGAACCAAAUAAAUCAUGGGGUUUCAUCUUUAGAUGUAUCGGACGGUUUACGCCCUAUCAAGGGUAUCCCGGUGUACAAUCACAACCGUUCAUUUCCUUUUUUGGCUACAAAUAUAGACAAAGAGAAAGAUCCAAAGAUGUGUUUUUACCCAUCAUCAUCUCCUUCUUCUUCUUCUCCUUCUUCGCCUUCGCCUUAUUUUAAUAAUAGGUUUAAUGGGAUAUCAUCCUCGUCUUAUCAUCACGUGCCACAUCAUCAUCCUCUUCAAUAUCAU
rnacentral:lncRNA from 1 species